rnacentral:rRNA from 1 species
UACAGAGGGUGCGAGCGUUAAUCGGAAUUACUGGGCGUAAAGCGCGCGUAGGCGGCUUUGCAAGUCGGGUGUGAAAUCCCCAGGCUUAACCUGGGAACUGCAUUCGAGACUGCAUUGCUAGAGUAUGGGAGAGGGAAGUGGAAUUUCCGGUGUAGCGGUGAAAUGCGUAGAUAUCUGGAGGAACACCGGUGGCGAAGGCGGCAUCCUGGACCAACAUUGACGCUGAGGAGCGAAAGCUAGGGGAGCAAACGGG